rnacentral:rRNA from 1 species
CCCUGCAGUUCUCGCCUGGUUUCACACUGAGCCUGGUUAGUACCUGGAUGGGAGACCUGCUGGGGAAAACUAAGGUUGCUGCUGGAA